CAGGGACAGAGCUUCCAAGAGUCUCUGGUAGCCCCUGGACUCCGCCGGACACAGAGGCCGAGUGAAAGAUGCGAAGGCUCCUAGGA
rnacentral:lncRNA from 1 species